UGCCUUGUGGUGUAAUGGUAGCACAGCAGAUUCUGGUUCUGUAUGUAUGGGUUCGACUCCUAUCAGGGCAA
rnacentral:tRNA from 1 species